GGGAGGAGCCCUGAGGGGAAGGACACAGCUUGCGCGUCCGCCUGGCGUCCUCCUCUGCCUCGCUGCGCCGCGAGCCACGUGCGGGGAGUGGCGGGCCACCUGCUCCCCCGGGCCACCUUGACCCUCCUCGCCUCCCAUGGGCCCGCGACCCCGCCUCGCUGCUGGGGUCCGCAGACAGGUGCAAUGUCGCGGGGCUUUUUCCUCCGCCACUGAGGAGGCUGACACCUGCGCUUAUAGGCUCCACUAAAAAUAGAACUUGUCAAACCGGGAGCCUCCGGGCGGAGCUAGCACUCGAACUCACUGCCCAGCCUAGCCAGUGGGGUAGUUGGAUGGGAGCUGAAUAUCCCAGGCUAGAAAUCCCCAAGGAUUCUCAAGUAUGAUGCCAGGUGAUGAUGUCUCCCUUUUCCACAGGCUUAUGAGGUUCACUAGAUUUGUUUGGGUUGUCAAAAUAUAUGGGGGAGGGGGGUCGUCACGAACAUCCUUAGUCCGUGGGAAGUUUUUAAUUAAAAACAUUAACACGCACAUGGUAACAUCUCCGAUGGCGACGAAUUAAAACCAAGCAAGCAUGACUGCUGGUUUCUUCCUCGACACCAAGGAUGUAGUUUGUUUAAUAUUUCAAGAGGUCUGCCCUUUUCAAUAAAGACAUAUUGCCAGGCACCAGAAAGAUUAGAAACCCUAAGGUGCAUUCAUUUUGACAUCUCAAACGAAAAACAGUCAAUAUACAAAUUCAUCUUUAUAUCUUUAUUUUUACUAAUCUUGUUUUGUUGGACCUUCAGUCAACUCUCAGGAUAUAGGAUCUUGUAAACACCUCUGAAGUACCACAGGACAAACUUUGUUAAUACCUGUGCUUACAAUUAGUUGUUGGUUGUAUGUUAGUAGUCAAAAUUCCCACUGUAUUGAUGCGCUUACUAAAGUAGCUACGAAAAAAUACCUGAAAGAAGUGAUAAAUUGUUGUGUCCGUUUAAAUGAAAUUGCAAUGGAAUUAUAAAGUGCUUACAUCAUUGGGAAAUUUGCAAACCCUAAGUAAGACUUCAUAGUGUGACAAGAACUCCUGUGACAUUUAGAACUACCUGCAGUAUUGAUGCCUGGCCCAGAAAAGAAGAUGGCUGUAAAUGUAAGUUCAGAUACAAGUGUACUGAAUGGAGUGGGUCUUAACUGAAUAGGAUUAGUGUCCCUCUAAAAUGAAAAGUGACAAAGAAGCACAGAGAAGAGGAAGUGAGGCAGAAACAGAGGACACCAUGUGAAUACCCAGAUAGACCUUGGAAUUAUGCCACAGGAAGGACAAGGAAGACAACCACCAAAAAUAAGGAAAUGUUCUCCUGUAGUAUCUUCAAAGAAAGGUGGCCUGAGUUGGCCUUUAUUUGACUUCUGGUCCCCAGAUCUGUGAAAGAAUCUUUGAAGUUUAAAACCUCUCCUACUCCCAUUCCAACCCUAGCUUGGACUUUGUCACAGCAGCCCUGAGAAACUAAUACACAAAAAAAAACCAUAAAUGUGAUUUUGUUACCUCUGUAAACAAUAACUAAUGUAGAUAAGGCUUUAUGGAUCACUUUGAAUAACUCUGAGAUCCCAAGAGUAAAACAAUAAAACUUGAGCCAGCCCAAGUUCCUUUUUGC